AGAGUUUGAUCCUGGCUCAGGAUGAACGCUGGCGGCGUGCCUAAUACAUGCAAGUCGAACGCGAGCACUUGUGCUCGAGUGGCGAACGGGUGAGUAAUACAUAAGUAACCUGCCCUAGACAGGGGGAUAACUGCUGGAAACGGCAGCUAAGACCGCAUAGGUAUGGACACUGCAUGGUGACCAUAUUAAAAGUGCCAAGGCACUGGUAGAGGAUGGACUUAUGGCGCAUUAGCUGGUUGGUGAGGUAACGGCUCACCAAGGCGACGAUGCGUAGCCGACCUGAGAGGGUGACCGGCCACACUGGGACUGAGACACGGCCCAGACUCCUACGGGAGGCAGCAGUAGGGAAUCUUCGGCAAUGGGGGCAACCCUGACCGAGCAACGCCGCGUGAGUGAAGAAGGUUUUCGGAUCGUAAAGCUCUGUUGUAAGUCAAGAACGAGUGUGAGAGUGGAAAGUUCACACUGUGACGGUAGCUUACCAGAAAGGGACGGCUAACUACGUGCCAGCAGCCGCGGUAAUACGUAGGUCCCGAGCGUUGUCCGGAUUUAUUGGGCGUAAAGCGAGCGCAGGCGGUUUGAUAAGUCUGAAGUUAAAGGCUGUGGCUCAACCAUAGUUCGCUUUGGAAACUGUCAAACUUGAGUGCAGAAGGGGAGAGUGGAAUUCCAUGUGUAGCGGUGAAAUGCGUAGAUAUAUGGAGGAACACCGGUGGCGAAAGCGGCUCUCUGGUCUGUAACUGACGCUGAGGCUCGAAAGCGUGGGGAGCGAACAGGAUUAGAUACCCUGGUAGUCCACGCCGUAAACGAUGAGUGCUAGGUGUUGGAUCCUUUCCGGGAUUCAGUGCCGCAGCUAACGCAUUAAGCACUCCGCCUGGGGAGUACGACCGCAAGGUUGAAACUCAAAGGAAUUGACGGGGGCCCGCAC
rnacentral:rRNA from 1 species